rnacentral:rRNA from 1 species
AUUGAACGCUGGCGGCAUGCCUUACACAUGCAAGUCGAACGUGAAAGCGGGGCAACCCGCAAGUAGAGUGGCGGACGGGUGAGUAAUACAUCGGAACGUGUCCAGUAAUGGGGGAUAACCUAGCGAAAGUUAGGCUAAUACCGCAUACGAUCUGCGGAUGAAAGCGGGGGAUGCGGCACUAAAGGCUUUUGGCGAAGGUGGCCAAAGGUGAGUCAAGAGCUUUUAGUGCNGCACCUCGCGUUAUUGGAGCGGCUGAUGUCUGAUUAGCUAGUUGGUGAGGUAAAGGCUUACCAAGGCGACGAUCAGUAGCUGGUCUGAGAGGACGGCCAGCCACACUGGGACUGAGACACGGCCCAGACUCCUACGGGAGGCAGC